GACGAACCGAGCGAACGUUGUUCGGAAUCACUGGGCUUAAAGGGCGCGUAGGCGGGUGCUCAAGUCCGUGGUGAAAUCCUCCGGCUCAACCGGAGAACUGCCUCGGAUACUGGGUGCCUCGAGGGUGGUAGGGGUAUGCGGAACUAUCGGUGGAGCGGUGAAAUGCGUUGAUAUCGAUAGGAACUCCGGUGGCGAAGGCGGCAUACU
rnacentral:rRNA from 1 species